AACGAUAUAGUUUAAUUAAGAUGCAUGCUCUGCAAGUGUGUGGUAGAAUUUAUAUUCUUGUCGUUG
rnacentral:tRNA from 1 species